UACGUAGGGUGCAAGCGUUAAUCGGAAUUACUGGGCGUAAAGCGUGCGCAGGCGGUUUUGUAAGUCUGUCGUGAAAGCCCCGGGCUCAACCUGGGAAUUGCAUUGGAGACUGCAAGGCUAGAAUCUGGCAGAGGGGGGUAGAAUUCCACGUGUAGCAGUGAAAUGCGUAGAGAUGUGGAGGAACACCGAUGGCGAAGGCAGCCCCCUGGGUCAAGAUUGACGCUCAUGCACGAAAGCGUGGGCAGCAAACAGG
rnacentral:rRNA from 1 species